rnacentral:rRNA from 1 species
CAGCCGCCACGGUAAUACGUAGGUGGCAAGCGUUGUCCGGAUUUAUUGGGCGUAAAGCGAGCGCAGGCGGUUUCUUAAGUCUGAUGUGAAAGCCCCCGGCUCAACCGGGGAGGGUCAUUGGAAACUGGGAGACUUGAGUGCAGAAGAGGAGAGUGGAAUUCCAUGUGUAGCGGUGAAAUGCGUAGAUAUAUGGAGGAACACCAGUGGCGAAGGCGGCUCUCUGGUCUGUAACUGACGCUGAGGCUCGAAAGCGUGGGGAGCAAACAGGAUUAGAUACCCGGGUAGUCCCUGUCUCUUAUAA